UUUUGGACGUCAGGGUGGAUAGAACAAUCCCCUUCUCUUUGGUCUUUCCCCCUUUUUUACUUUCGUCAGUUGUUGGUCUUUCUGUCACACGGUUUAACUUUUUUUUUUUCCUCCUUUCUUUUGUCGUCCCUGUCGCGUUGAUGUCGACGGCGUGAGAGUUCCCGGGACACAAAAAGAAGGGAGAGAUUUUCAUGUACAAUACACCUCCAUUUUCGUGCCCAACAGCUUUUCACCUUUCCUGGAUUUACAGUUGAGGAAAUUCCGCCUCCUUUACACAAGUUCGCCAUUUUCUUCACUACAGCCCCUAGUGGCAAGAGCACACAAAAAAUGAAUGGAUUUACAGAGAAUUGAGCCAUCAUUGGGCAAGUAUUGCGUAUUACUCGGUCGUCACAUAUUAAAAUUCUGUCGGUUUCGGUGGGAAACCUAAUACGCAGCAGCCAACGAAUAUCCAAGCCAGAAAGGGAUCCUACGUCGCGGUUAAGCAACCAACCCAAUCACACACUGCUAACGAGAAAAGAGAUCCGUAAGGAAAUAAAGCCAGCUGGAAAAACCCCGACUAAGAGGCUUUAUGCAUUUACGUGGUAAGAAUUAAGGCUGUCCAGAUUUUUGGGGAGAAGCACGUGUACCUGGGCUACGCGGUAAACGAUUCAUUUCUAUGCUCGAUGGCUUUUGAUGUCCUAGUCAAAGGUGCAUGACCGCUAGCCACGCCAUUUUUCUCUGCUCUCGCGCGCCAGAUGAAAAACAGCCAGUCCUUAAUAUGAUAAAGCACCUCUUUAAUGUAUUUAAAAGCGAAGGGAAAAUAGAAAUGCUUAAGAGAUGAAAUGAGGAAGGAAAAAAAUUGUGAGAUACUCACAC